GACGAACGCUGGCGGCGCGCCUCAUACAUGCAAGUCGAACGAGAAGCCUGGAGCUUGCUCUGGGUGGAGAGUGGCGAACGGGUGAGGAACACGUGAGGAACCUGCCCCGAAGACUGGGAUAACACCGGGAAACCGGUGCUAAUACCGGAUGUCCUCAUCGGACCGCAUGAUCCGAUGAGGAAAUGGAUUCCGCUUCGGGAUGGCCUCGCGGCCUAUCAGCUUGUUGGUGGGGUAACGGCCCACCAAGGCUUCGACGGGUAGCUGGUCUGAGAGGAUGUCCAGCCACACUGGGACUGAGACACGGCCCAGACUCCUACGGGAGGCAGCAGUAGGGAAUCUUGCGCAAUGAGCGGAAGCUUGACGCAGCGACGCCGCGUGCGGGAUGAAGGCCCUCGGGUCGUAAACCG
rnacentral:rRNA from 1 species